rnacentral:lncRNA from 1 species
UGGGAGUUGGUGAUGGACAGGGAAGCCUAGUGUGCUGCAGUCCAUGGAGUGGCAAACAGUCAGACACGGCUGAGCGACUGAACAACAACCACCGCCAUACACAUAGGGCUUCCCAGAUGGUGCGGUGAUAAAGGACCUGCCUACCAGUGCAGGAGACUUAGGAGACGCAGGUUGGGAACAUCCCCUGGAGAGUGAAAUGGCAACCGACUCCAGUGUUCUUGCCUGAAAAAUUCCACAGACAGAGGAGCCUGAUGGGCUACAGUCCCUGAGAUUGCAAAGAGCCAGACACAACUGAGCAACUGAGCAUGCAUGCACAGGACAGAUAUAUAUAUGUGUGUGUACAUAUAUAUAUAUAUAGAGAGAGAGAGAGAGAAAGCGCAGUAUAGAUUUUUCUUUCCAGCAGAAAGAAUACAAAAUCAGAUUUUAUCGUUGCUGCCUUCAAAGGAACUUACAAUUUGGAAGAUGGAUGUAUACACAAAUACACAAAGUAAUAAGCAAACUUUGUUUAUGCUAACAGUGGGAAGAUGUUUAUGCUAAGCAAAAAAUAUGCUAACAGUGGGAAGAUGAGGGAAGAGAGAAGAGUUUCAGUGGGGAUGUUUUUUCCUAAUUUGCUUUAAGCCAUCAAAGAAAGAUAUAUCUACUACAAAAAUAUGAAUUGUUCACAAAGAAGGAAUAUAUCAUCAAUGGAUAUCAUAUUGGUUUCUAUUGCCAAAACUAUUGCACUAAUAUGGCAUGUUUAAGUGUCCUUCCUGGAUUCCUUCUAAUAGGGCCUGAGUCUAUUGUGGAAACACAGUAGGACAUUGAGUUGAAGAAACGAUAGCAACAGAUGCUGCUAAAUAUAAACCUGAUGCUUAAGUAACCAUUAUGCCAAGGGUGGAAGUAAAUGUUUAAUUCCCUUUUGUGGAGCAUGUACAAGAAUAUUUCUAACAAAAUGAACUGAGUUUCAAUGUGCAGGGGGCCAUUCUUCCCAAGUUGAUAACUUGGGAAGAAAGAACUAAUCUCUGUACAUUUAUUUUCCUCUUGGAUUCAAUAUUCAAGGCUGCCAUGAGGACCAAGUACAGAGACAUUUAACGCAUAUUGGCCUCUCCUGCUUCCUUACUUUUAAAGUUAUCCACUUGUAACACACUUAUUUUUUUAAAGUUGUCCUUGAUAUUUCAUUUAAGCCUAAUUUUAUCUGCAUACUUGUGGAGACUAAGAAGGAGAACUCUCCCCAUAAUUGUCUAGCAAUACUUGCUGUAUGGAUCUUUUUAUAGUCUACUAAAAUUUAUAGUCUACAUAACUUGUGAAAUAUUUAAUCCGUGAUAGUUUCAGAGCAGUGUGACAGGGUACCUUCAACCACAAUUGAAAUCAAAAUAAUUGCCUCAAGCCUUCAAUAUUACUUUAUUCCAUAUCCUCAGAAUAAUAAAUCUUUUGAGGCAACUGUAGAUGAGAGUUUAUUUCCUAGGGAGAUUGUUCUCCAUGGACAUGUAACUGAAACUUUGUAACUAAACCCUAUAUUAUUCUCAAUCAUAAGCUUUUUGUUAAUUUUUUAUGAAAUAAAUGUGGUAAUUCUCAACCAAAAUUAGGAAAAAAUAAUAAUUCUGUUAUUCUUUAAGUUGCUUUCUAUCCCCAAAGGAAAUAGCCUAUUCUAAUAGGCAAAUUGGGACUAAAGGNNNNNNNNNNNNNNNNNNNNNNNNNNCAAUUGCAAGACAGCCAGGAGACAAAUUUAAAUUCUGUUAAGAAUAGCAGGAAGUAUUUUGGUUCUAAGCAGGAUGGCACCACUUGUGGUUUUGCUAAGUACACAAGACAAGUCAGAUCAAGUGUGUGGCUUUUUUGUGUGAAUGGAAACAACUCCUGUCUGUCCUAGUUCUUCACUGGAAUGCUGACAUGUGCAGUGCUUGACAAUUCAGAUCAUUUCAUUGGAAUCAGUCAGAGUUUACCCUGGCACUUGAAAAGAAGCUAUUCAAUAGUACAGGAGUGUCCAUUUUCAUUUUAACAGAAGGCAUAUAAUAACAUUCAGAAAUGUGAGAUUUUCUGGUUAUGUUGCUUUUAUGGUGACAUAAGUACAGUGUGGUAGAUAAAGAGAAAAAAAGCAUGGUUAGCGAUUAUAUUUCUCAAACCUGACAGAAGUGGUAGACAGAAUAAUUAGGACAUGGUAUCCUGUAUUAAAAUUCUAGAAUGUAGAGGAUUUAGGAAUCUUAGAUCAAAAUUCUGCAUGUAUUUCACUAGUACUCCACAAAUUUGAACCUUUCAGAGUCUAUGACUGUGGAUUUGGGUCUUUCAGGUACUUUUAAUUCUGUUUAUAUUGGCUGUCAUGGGCACAGUGAAAAAUGAAGUGAAAAAUGGAGGUAUAAUUGGCAGUUAAGAAUAAAAAUUUAUUGAGCACUGUUGACUGAAAAAAAGGCACAACCUAAAAGUUGAGAAUUAAUGUUUUGUUCAGUGGACUUACUGAGGACUUAAGCCUCUCAGAUAGCUUUGAAGGAUUGUUCUGAAGAGGUAAGUGAGGGGCCAGGAUACAUAAGAGUUUUUGAAAAAAAGAAAACAGAUUACUGCUAAUUAGUACACUCUUUGACAUAAAUCUCAGCAANNNNNNNNNNNNNNNNNNNNNNNNNNNNNNNNNNNNNNNNNNNNNNNNNNNNNNNNNNNNNNNNNNNNNNNNNNNNNNNNNNNNNNNNNNNNNNNNNNNAUACAGAAAAAGAAAUAAAAGGAAUCAAGAUUUGAAAAGAAGAAGUAAAACUCUCACUGAUUACAGAUGAAAUGGAUCAAAUACCUAAAUUUAAGGCCAGAAACUAUAAAACUAUCAGAGGAAAAUACAGACAGAAUACUCACUGACAUAAACUGCAGUAAGAUCCUCUUUGACCUACCUCCUGGAGUAAUGGAAAUAGAAACAAAAAUAAACAAAUGGGACCUAAUUAAACUCUUUUGCACAGCAAAGGAAACUAUAAACAAGAUGAAAAGACAACCCUCAAAAUGAAAGAAAAUAAUUGCAAUUGAAGCAAAUAACAAAGGAUUAAUCU